rnacentral:lncRNA from 1 species
UUCUUCUGUGUGUCUGCUGCACAUGUGUCUCCUUGCCCCCAAGAAGUGCCUUUCCUCAGCUGCCGAUUCUGCAUGGUCCUUGCGAUUUCUCCGCUGCUGCCUCUGCCCCUUGCACUCCAGGUUUUUCCUGCCUUUUAAUUAUUUAACUGGCAGAGAAAGUGAACCUGAUCAAAGCUUGCUAGCCACUCAAUGGACUAAGCCUGUGCUAAGUGGGCUGCAGCCUGGAUGGGAACAGCAAUGCCCCACAGUGGGGACGCUCAGGCUCCUGAGGCCCCAGAAACCCAGCAAUCUAAGAAGGAGCCCCUGAUCUACCACUGCUGGUUACAGCUCAGCAUACAGUGUGGGACUGUCCCCUGAGCCAAACUGCUGCUGUUGUCACAAAAAGGUCGUCACAGCUUGGAUUGUUGACUAUUGACUCUUCUCAAGGAGGACCAUGGAACUCUAGUCAGAUUGUGCGGCCAUUCCUCCUAGUCCCUAAUUCCAGGCAGCCUUGGGGAGGGGCGAGAGUAUGCAGGUGGGGAAGGAAAAGGGAAGGGAAUCGACUGGCUACAGAUCCUGGUUCCAGCAUGGGUGAUUUAAGUGCCAUGCUUCGGCCUGUAACUCUUCACUCACUAUGGCAUAAGAAAGUCUAUAAAUUCUUUAGUUCCCCAGAGUGAA